rnacentral:rRNA from 1 species
GAUGAACGUUGGCGACGUGCCUAACACAUGCAAGUCGAGCGGUGAAAAGUGGACUUAAUCUUCGGAAAGAGGAAACUUGGAACAGCGCGGACGGGUGAGUAAUACAUGAGCAACCUGCCUUGGACAGAGGGAUAGCCGUGGGAAACCGCGAUUAAUACCUCAUAAGACCCCACUAUCGCAUGAUAGAGAGGUUAAAGAUUUAUCGGUCCAAGAUGGGCUCAUGACCCAUUAGCUAGUUGGUGAGAUAACAGCCCACCAAGGCGACGAUGGGUAGCCGGCUUGAGAGAGUGACCGGCCACAUUGGAACUGAGACACGGUCCAGACUCCUACGGGAGGCAGCAGUGGGGAAUAUUGCACAAUGGAGGAAACUCUGAUGCAGCGACGUCGCGUGAGCGAAGAAGGUUUUCGAAUCGUAAAGCUCUGUCCUAUGGGAAGAAGAAAGACGGUACCAUAGAAGAAAGCCCGGCU